ensembl:lncRNA
CCAAAACCUUGACCUAAAAUCACCUCAUUUGCAGAGUUUACUGUAAGUUAUUGUAUUCAUUUUUGCAAUAAAUGAAGCUAUCUUUUUAAAUAAACAUUUAUUUCUAUAAUGGUUUGUAAUAAUUUGAAUAUUUAUAGCAAAUUAUCUCUUUUCAAGAGAAUUUUCAGCCAAUGAGACCAGUGGGUGUGGUCAAUUAUUACAUCAUAAUGAUCGCUGCAUUCCAUAGAACGUUCGGUGAGUAGUCUAUAAAUAUGAGUGCAGAUGGAUCUUGCAUUUGUAGCGAGUUUUGGCGAAUGAUCGUGAGUAUACUCUUUACAUCUGAAUUAGAUUUUUUCUAUAAAAUUUUCAUAACUUGGAGAAAAAUAUGCUUUUGAUAAACAGGUCUGAUUGGAAAUUUUAAUGUUGGCUGAUAUGGAAAUUAAUAAUGAUGAAAGCUAUGGAGUAAGCCGAUUGGAGUAAUAAUAUAUUUUUCUAACAUAAAGUUGUGUAAUAUUUUGCAGUAAAUCAAAGGAACAAAUACGAUGACCAUUUAAAUCAUUUAUUCAUAAAUAGAGAUCUGUAGUUAUCUUGUCUAUGUGAGAAACUCAAUCCACCCAUCCUUUAUUAUGAUAAAUUCUGAAUGCUCAUCCUGAAAGCUUUAAUAGUUUAAUAGCUAUCUCUUACAAUGACCAGAAGAAGGUAUACAUUUACAAUAUAAGCAUCUGAGUUAUGCACAUUAAUUGGUAAAAUAAUAUUAAUAAAAACCUCACUUGUGGACCCCCAUUGUGCAUGGACAUACACUGUAAAGCUGUACCUGUAAAAGAUGCUCUUAAAUGUGUACUAUCAUAUAUAUCUUGCCUUUCUCUUUUCUGACAAAGCGUUUUACAGAUAAAGGCAGUAUUGGUAAUUUCUUGUAUCAAACAUCAAAAUGACUAUGUCAACCAUCCCCAUCGGUUUUCCUGAGAGUGCAGUGCAGUCCUCAUCUUCUGAGCUCUCAGAUGAGCUCAGCACUGCCCUCGCUGCAGGACGGUGGUGGGCAAUUAUGGAGGUCUCAUCUCCUAUAUCUGAGGAGCCUGAAUAUGGGGACCUCACCUCACUCAGGUUCCCACACUCAGGCUUCUCAGAAUCAACACUGAAUACCAAGGAACCUUGGAGGCAGAAGAAGACAAAGAGUACACCCAUGCCUCCCAGGUCCUUAAAGGGAGCACCUGUGCCUGCCUUUGCUGAUAAGAGGGACUACACCUCAUCUCUGGUCUUCAAAAAUGCAUCAGAGAAGGCUGAUUCUCAGCACUCAGGCUUCUCAGAUGCAGAGCUCAAGACCACGGAGCAACAGAGGAAGUGGAGGCAGAAGAAGCCACAUGGUCCACCUGUGCUUGCUGGGUCUGAGAAGGCUGAGUAUGGGAACUCACUGAAGACCACUAAGCAGGUGAGACAAGAGUGGAGACAGAAUAAGCCUCAGGGACCGCCUGUGCUUGCUGGGUCUGAGAAGGCUGAGUAUGGGAACUCACUGAAGACCACUAAGCAGGUGAGACAAGAGUGGAGACAGAAUAAGCCUCAGGGACCACCUGUGCUUGCUGGGUCUGAGAAGGCUGAGUGUGGGAACUCACUGAAGACCACUAAGCAGGUGAGGCAAGAGUGGAGACAGAAUAAGCCUCAGGGACCACCUGUGCUUGCUGGGUCUGAGAAGGCUGAGUGUGGGAACUCACUGAAGACCACUAAGCAGGUGAGGCAAGAGUGGAGACAGAAUAAGCCUCAGGGACCACCUGUGCCUGGUGACUCCCCCCAGGAACAUCCUGUGCCCACUCGGUCCCAACAACGUGGAAAAAUCAGGAUCCCUGAGCAUCUGAGGAAGCACCUGCUACAGGCCGCCAAUGAACUGGGAGCAACUGUGCCUGCUAAGUCCCCACAGGGACCACCAGUUCCUACAAAGUCUCUACAGAGAGAACCUGUGCCUUCCUCAAAGGUGCAAAACUUAAAUACCCCUCAGCUACUAAGGCAGGAGCUACAGCAAAAGAAGCCUCAAGCCUUUUCUCACAAGGGAGCACCUGUAUCCAACAAGACCCCGGAGCGGCAAAGGCUAAAAAUCCCUGAGCCGCUGAGGCAGGAGCUGCUGCAGUUGUCUUACCGAGCCUCAUCAGUAAAGGGAGAACUUGUGCCCCAAAAGACUCAGGAAAAGCAGAGGCUCAAGAUGCCUGAACCGUUAAAGCAGGAGCUGCUGCAGGUGUCAUCUAGAGCCUCUACUGAAAAGGGAGCACCUGUGCCUCAAAAGAUCCAGGAGAAGCAGAGGCUCAAGAUACCUGAGCGGCUUAGGCAGGAGCUGCUGCAGCUAUCACGCCGAGCCUCAUCUGUGAAGGGUGAACUUGUGCCCCAAAAAACUCAGGAGAGGCAGAGGCUCAAGACGCCUGAGCUGUUAAAGCAGGAGCUGCUUCAGGUGUCACCCAGAGCCUCUUCUGAGAAGGGAGCACCCGUGCCCAUAAAGACUGCAGAGAGGCAAAGGCUCAAAAUAUCAGAGCCACUGAGGAAGGAACUGCUCCAGAAGCCUCAAGCCUCUCCUGCAGAGGGUAAACCCAUGUCUUCCAAGUCCCCAAAGGAAGCACCUUUACCUGACAGGAACCCUGUUCAUACCGGGGCCUCACAGGGAUCAGGAGUGCUCUCCAGUUCUCCACUGCCCACUGGGUGUCUGAGGGAAGCAGCAGUACCCACCAAAACCAUGAAGGCAGGAAAACGGAGGCUUGCUGAGCAACUGAGCAUGCCUAUCUCUUCCACUGAAGGACUACAUAUGCCCUCCAGGACCUCAAAAGUGGCACCUGUGAAUUCUGGGACCUUACAGGGAGCCCUUGCGACCAGAAGCUCCCCACGACUGGGAGCAAAUCCAAAAAUCACAGAGCAGCAGAAGCAGAAGCGCAGGGAGCAGUGGAGACAGCAGCAGAGACAGCGGAGGCAGCAGACGGCAUCAGACAAUAUAGAUGUGUGUGAGCCUCCACAAAAAAUACUCUGUGUGGAAAUCGACAAGGUGCCACUGAAGCCUAAACUGUGGAAGCAGAACCAUCAAGCCCCACAGCUCAUGUCCCAGCUCACCCUGAAGAUGGACAAUGUAGGUGUGAGCUGGUCAUCUACAGAAAAAAGGGAGCGCAUGGCGAGCAAAAUCAGAGAUCAACAACUGGGGCCAGGCUUAAAGCAUUUAUGUAGUAUAUUCAUAUGUUUAACGGAAUAUUUAAAUAUUUAGUAUUCAUGUGUAUUGUGUUUGAAUUGAUUUAGUAUGAUUGUAUGUAUAAUAAAAAAAUAAAAUC